AGAAGGGCCAGGACAAAACUUUGACUUGAAACCAAAGAACAGGACGUUCAACUCGCCCACCUUCUA
rnacentral:tRNA from 1 species